rnacentral:rRNA from 1 species
GUACACGCUGUGACUAGCAUAUCAAUAAGCGGAGGAAAAGAAACUAACAAGGAUUCCCCUAGUAACGGCGAGUGAAGCGGGAAGAGCUCAAAUUUGAAAUCUUAAAGGGUUUCCCUUUACGAAUUGUAGUUUAAAGAAGUGUUUUCUGUUGAGGUUUUGGUAAAAGUUCUUUGGAAUAGGACAUCAUAGAGGGUGAGAAUCCCGUAUUUGACCUUUACUUUCAACUUUGUGAUACACUUUCCAAAGAGUCGGAUUGUUUGGGAAUGCAGUCCAAAAUGGGUGGUAAAUUUCAUCUAAAGCUAAAUAUUGGCGAGAGACCGAUAGCGAACAAGUACCGUGAGGGAAAGAUGAAAAGAACUUUGAAAAGAGAGUUAAACAGUACGUGAAAUUGUCAAAAGGGAAGGCGUUUGACACCAGUGUUGUUUUUCUGAAAAUCAAUUAAAGAACUGUUAAUGCUAAGUCUGUUUAGACUUUAUCAGCUAUCUGCUUAGUUUUGAGCUUUUCUUUAAUGCACUUUUCAGUUAACAAGUCAACAUCAAUUUCUUUUGCUGUAAAAAAGCUUGAGGAAGGUGGCUUGAGAUUCGUCUUAAGUGUUUAUAGCCUCUUGCCUAUGCAGUCGGAGAGAUUGAGGUCUGCAGCGUAGAUCCUUCGGGGCUAAAUGCAUUUGUGCUAAGUUAUAGCAUUUUAUAGACAACUUGUUGACUAUGAUUAGUCUUGUAGCUUACUCGCUUAUGCUAUUUUACCUACGCUUAGGAUGUUGAUAUGCAUGACUGAUAU